AGUCGAGAUGCGGCAAAGCAGAGGCAAACAGCUAGGCACAAAGCAAUAGAGUUGUAAACUUUGUUUUUUUUUGUUUUUUGUUUUUUUUUCCUGCUGCCGCCUAUACUGCCUCUCUCCCAUAGGAAGAACACUACCUCUGGGUAGCCAGGAGCUGAGAUGCAGUCUGAAUGUUCACGGUGGCUUCUGACGUGGCAGCGUGAAUUCUCAGCUGGGCAGGACAGCUGUCGGCUAGCAGGGACACAAACAGCCAUCAAGUGGAGAGUCGUUGGGACUUUGGUCUGUGUGCAGGUGGAGCCUGGAAGACUGACAGUCUAAUUUCGGUCAUCUAAUGACUUCUUAUUUUCCUAACUAAUUGUGCUUGCUAAGCACACAAUGGUCUGGAUUAGUCUUGGAGCCUUCAUCAAGUUGGGCUGCAAAUCAGGAUGCCAGCAAGCCUGCAAUAGCCUUGGCUCCCUCCUGUGUGAUGCUAUGCUAAUUCCCAGGAUGGGUCACUCUGACAACAAAAAAGAACGCUUGACUUCUCUUGUGAUGCUAGAAGAACAUAAUUCUUUUUUGCAGCGAUUCUCUCUCUCUCUCUCUCUCUCUCUCUCUCUCUCUGUGUGUGUGUGUGUGUGUGUGUAAAAUUCAUCAAACCAAAGAGCCUAAGAGAGAUCAUUGUGGAUGUGGCUUUUAAUGAUUUGCGGGAGAAAAAGAAAAAGAAAAAGAAAAAUGACAGCCUGUGGAGACGCCGAUUGGAGAAAGCAGCACACUGUGGUUAUUGCCAAUUUGAAAUACUGGGUUUGUGAAGCCAAGCCCUAAGGGAGUAGCCGGGUAACUGAGAAAGAGAUCGUAGAUAAAGAAAUAAAAAUGACAAGCGUAAUGGAGGCUGUGCGAAGGGACUGUCAGAGCAUCCGUUCAUGGAUGGCAAUCUUGCCAGGCAGAGAUUGAAUAAUUCAUAGAUGGAAACUACCCUGCCUUCACCUUCCCAUUUAAACCGGGCAUGAGCUGAAUCUCUAAUAAAUUUUCAAGAUAAAGUAAAAUGCCAAUUUGAAUCUGAAGAGCUUUUAAAAGCAGAUGUCGCAUCCCCCCGAAUCGUUCAGUAUCUUUCACAAUUACACUCUGAGGACUGCACUUCAUCAGGAAGCACCGUCACCGGGGAAAAUGACUGUGAUUACAAUAGCAACAAUAGAAUGCCAUCGAAUGAUCUCUAAUUUACCUAAUUUGCUAAGACUGACUGGCUUAAAUACCCAUUGUGUGUUGCUGGUGCCCUGUCCGUGGAUCUCUCUCAAGACAGAACAAAAGUGGUGUACUGUGUGUGCUCCCUUGGUUCACACAGUCUGGCAGAGAUCGGUCUUCUAAGUUACAAUGUCUCUUUCGUCGGCUUUUCAUCUUUGUAUUUUUUUAUAUUUUUACUUUUUUCCUAAUGCUUUGUCCUAAAUGCCUUUUGAGGGAAAAUGGCAAGCAGUGACUUGUUAAUUUAUACACUUCUUAAAUUUUAAAAUAUA
rnacentral:lncRNA from 1 species